CGCGUAGGCGGUUUGUACAGUCAGAUGUGAAAUUCCUGGGCUUAACCUGGGGGCUGCAUUUGAUACGUGCAGGCUUGAGUGUGGAAGAGGGUCGUGGAAUUCCCAGUGUAGAGGUGAAAUUCGUAGAUAUUGGGAAGAACACCGGUGGCGAAGGCGGCGACCUGGUCCAUAACUGACGCUGAGGCGCGAAAGCGUGGGGAGCAAACAGGAUUAGAUACCCUGGUAGUCCACGCUGUAAACGAUGUGUGCUGGAUGUUGGGUAACCUAGUUACUCAGUGUCGUAGCUAACGCGAUAAGCACACCGCCUGGGGAGUACGGCCGCAAGGUUGAA
rnacentral:rRNA from 1 species